GGUUAAGCGACUAAGCGUACACGGUGGAUGCCCUGGCAGUCAGAGGCGAUGAAGGACGUGCUAAUCUGCGAUAAGCGUCGGUAAGGUGAUAUGAACCGUUAUAACCGGCGAUUUCCGAAUGGGGAAACCCAGUGUGUUUCGACACACUAUCAUUAACUGAAUCCAUAGGUUAAUGAGGCGAACCGGGGGAACUGAAACAUCUAAGUACCCCGAGGAAAAGAAAUCAACCGAGAUUCCCCCAGUAGCGGCGAGCGAACGGGGAGCAGCCCAGAGCCUGAAUCAGUGUGUGUGUUAGUGGAAGCGUCUGGAAAGGCGCGCGAUACAGGGUGACAGCCCCGUACACAAAAAUGCACAUACUGUGAGCUCGAUGAGUAGGGCGGGACACGUGGUAUCCUGUCUGAAUAUGGGGGGACCAUCCUCCAAGGCUAAAUACUCCUGACUGACCGAUAGUGAACCAGUACCGUGAGGGAAAGGCGAAAAGAACCCCGGCGAGGGGAGUGAAAAAGAACCUGAAACCGUGUACGUACAAGCAGUGGGAGCACGCUUAGGCGUGUGACUGCGUACCUUUUGUAUAAUGGGUCAGCGACUUAUAUUCUGUAGCAAGGUUAACCGAAUAGGGGAGCCGAAGGGAAACCGAGUCUUAACUGGGCGUUAAGUUGCAGGGUAUAGACCCGAAACCCGGUGAUCUAGCCAUGGGCAGGUUGAAGGUUGGGAACACUAACUGGAGGACCGAACCGACUAAUGUUGAAAAAUUAGCGGAUGACUUGUGGCUGGGGGUGAAAGGC
rnacentral:rRNA from 1 species